rfam:Gluconacetobacter sp. SXCC-1 Contig2903, whole genome shotgun sequence.
GGCUUAUUUUGCUCAGAUAGCGCUCGACUGCCCGUUUCGCAAAUGAUCGCGUUUAUUGAAGCCUACCGUGCCGAUUACGGGGUCGAGCCAAUCUGUCGCGUUCUGCCGAUUGCCCCG